rnacentral:antisense_RNA from 1 species
CGGCUCGGAGUGUGGUGCUUCUGCUGGUUGCAGUCAGGCUUCAUACGCUAUUGUCCUGCCCGUUAGAGCAGCCAGCGGGUACAGAAUGGAUUUUGGAAGAGGGAGUCACCACUGGACCUCCAAGGAAGCCACGUGCAGACGUCUACAACCUUCGAUCUCCUGACGAGUUUAUUGUUGGCCAAAACCAGGCUUUGAUUGAACCAGGAUGAAUGCGGGUGUUGGAAGUAGAAUAUAUAUAUACAUAUAAAAUUGGUUGGGAGCCACGUGUACCAGUGUGUGUUGAUCUUGGCUUGAUUCAGUCUGCCUUGUAACAGAUUUUGCCUGCCUGAGCUCCUCUAGUAGUGGCCACAAUUGCCAGAGAAGAUAGAGCAGGUCUCUCCCAGGACUUGCAGCUCCAGCCUGUGUCUGCAAGGGGUGUUGUAGGGACUGAUUUCUCCAGCCCGUGGCAAGAGGCCUUCAUCUUGUGCCUGGAAAGAGGGAAGUACAAGUCCGUCUGGCAGAGAUGG